UACGGGAGGCAGCAGUGGGGAAUAUUGCACAAUGGGCGCAAGCCUGAUGCAGCCAUGCCGCGUGUAUGAAGAAGGCCUUCGGGUUGUAAAGUACUUUCAGUCGUGAGGAAGGUGUUAAGGUUAAUAACCUUAGCAAUUGACGUUAGCGACAGAAGAAGCACCGGCUAACUCCGUGCCAGCAGCCGCGGUAAUACGGAGGGUGCGAGCGUUAAUCGGAAUUACUGGGCGUAAAGGGCACGCAGGCGGUUAAUUAAGUUGGAUGUGAAUCCCCGGGCUUAACCUGGGAAUGGCAUUCAAGACUGGUUAGCUAGAGUCUUGUAGAGGGGGUAGAAUUCCAUGUGUAGCGGUGAAAUGCGUAGAGAUGUGGAGGAAUACCGGGUGGCGAAGGCGGCCCCUGGGACAAAGGCUGACGCUCAUGUGCGAAAGCGUGGGGAGCAAACAGGGAUUAGAUACC
rnacentral:rRNA from 1 species